rnacentral:lncRNA from 1 species
AUAACAUUCCAAUAUGCCAGGGACGUAGAAUGGGUCAACCUGGUCUUUCUCUUAUUCUGGCCGGGACGUAGAAUGGGUCAACCGGCAAACAUACCAUACCAUGUCUCAUCAUAACAUAUCAAGGACUAAAGGAUCAUUCAAUGCCCAUCCACAUCAUCAUCAAGUAUGCAAUGCAACAUAUUCGUGAACUAAUGCAAGCAACCUAUUAUAUUCACAUGGCAUUCAUGAUGCAUGGGUCAUGCUCAAAAUUCACAUUUCAUUAAUUAAAAAUUUAG